CGGUAAAUGUCAAUUAAACUGUACACUUUUAUCGGUAAAUUGUGAUUUUUACGCAAUGCGACUUUUAGAGCUCUCUGUCCGCACAGCGAGUGUCGAGUGAGGACGGACUGGGCCAAAGACCUUAUAAUAUAUUACUAGACCGAAAGCUGCGUGCGCGUUCAGCACAAAACAAAUGAGAUUAGGCUCCGCCUACCGCGAUCAUUUGAAGACAAAAAUAAGCCCUCAUUGACAUUCAUGAGCAUGAAGAUAUUCAUAAUCCGGCCUUUUCAUUGGCUAAGAGCGUCAUUAAUACGCGAUUUCCCCGAUUCUUUGUCAUCGAUAUUAGUGGUAUCGUGUUACAGAAUUAAUUAUUCAUUUGACCUCAUUACGUCAUCUAAUUUAUUCAUUCUGAAACUUUUCUUUCCACACAAAAAUGGACCUACGAACAUUCCGGUUGAGUUUGAAGAACAAGAAAAACAGUAGAGGUCUACCUGGUACCUAUGGUUAAACAUGAUGAUCAUAAGUGCAUGUAUCAUUUUGCAGAUUCUCAUCCAGGAUGAUGCAACUCUACAAUUUCCAUGGAGGUGAUUGAUGAUGAUAAACAAUUGGUGAAGUAGGCCUAAUAGAACAGUGAUAGGACCACAAAGAGAAAUACAACCUACAGCAGUUAUAUGAGACUGGUGUAACAGAUGUUUUCAUUCAAGAAAUCCAACAAAUUGAAGAGUGACUUAGCUUAGGAAGCACUUGAUAAAGAUGGAAAAGGUUUUUUUUUUCAAGUCCAAUUUUUUUUAUU